rnacentral:ncRNA from 1 species
GCGCUUUCGGUUUCGCAAGAAUCAAAAGGGAACGCUGUGAAAAUCAGUGGCUAUACCCGUAGCUGUUAGUUCCGAGAUGCGCCUUUCCAAUGUGUCACUGUCCUUUCAGGGCGGGAAGACGGAAAGUGCGGGGACAAGCCAGAAGACCUGCCAAAGCACAUA